GCUGAUCAUUUCGUUCUGUUCUGGUUCAAUUAUUGAACUUUAAUAAUCUUAUUUGUGUAAGUCAUUUUUUUGUCAUCUAUUAAAUGUAAUUGAUUUAGAUUAUCAAUAUCUUCAUGACUAUUAUUGUUAACAAAUGUGAUUUUCUUUGUUGUAUAAUGUAAGAAAAGGAAAGCUUUGUCUGUUUGGUGCUCUCUAUGUGACGGUUGUUUUGUUGAAUCUCUUAUGUAAGCCUCUUGUCUAUUGCCUGGUUAAUAAUUCUGAUCACAUUCACUUCUAAUUGGUGUUACUUCUGUGCAUUAAAAAUGUAAUAAACUUAACAGCAACAAGGUUUAACUCAACCUCAUUCCUGUAUUACCAUUUAUUAGCCAAAUUACAAGGCUCAUUGGUACAGUUAUUAAUUCAAGUUAUACCUGGUUGUCAUCAGUUGAAAAGGUGAAAAUGAAAAGUGACUUGGGUUCAAUGUUAUUUGAAUAAUAUGUUAACCAUAUUUCAAGAUUAAUUCCUGCUCUUAACUUCAACUAAUUGGAUCGGAAAGUAAUUUGACUCAACUCCAUCUCAAAUCAAGACUAAACUUUACCCAAUAUUUCAAUUAGAUGCGAUUAUCAUUUAACUUUUGCUCCACUCAAAGUGAUAUACUUAAGAAACAAUGACAAUAUUCAAUGUUUCAACAAAAUGUAAUCACAUUCGGUUAAAUGGUCAUUGGUUUUCGAUCAACAAUACUCAGUUAAUCAGUUAAUGGAGAAAGUGUAAAACUAUAACGAAAUGUUUUUGCGGUCACAGUUUUUUUCCCUUCGCUUGUCUUUGGUUAAUCUGUUUGGCCAGUUAAUAGUUUAAAUCAAUGAGAUACUUGGAGUCACAAAGCAACUCAAAACACUUUUUGAUGGACACUACUUGCAGCCAACUCCAAUCAUUUUAGCCGAAGAAAGCUUUCAUUACUUCUAGUACUCGCCUUGGCUCUAGUACUUCAGAUGAGUCUGAAUUGAAGGAAAUUAAGGUGAAUUGAGUGUGAAAAGAGUCUAAUUCGCACAUUUGAUAGAUUUGAUUCAAUUAUCAAGAAGAUUUAAUCAAAUACUUACAAAUCUGCUGAUCCAUUAGAUCCAUUCAUAGGCAAAGUUUGGUUCGUUUAAUUAUUGAAAUAUGCUCUCAAUAUGAAUCCAUAGCAUGGAUACUUUUAUCUAACAAACGGUUUAGUAAUUGUCAACAACAAUUAGAAUUUCUCUUUAUUUUUAAUGUAACUGAAAAAAUUAAAUUAAACAAUAAUCUUGCAAAUUGGCAACUGAAUACUGAAUACUAAUGUACUUUGCCAAAUAAUUUUUGUGAAAUUAUUCUGAAAGAUGAUAAAAAAAGCGUGUAACUGUAUGAAUUUCAAAAAAUAAAAGAUAUGGACCAAAACUCUUGAAUCAAUC